UACAGAGGUCUCAAGCGUUGUUCGGAUUCAUUGGGCGUAAAGGGUGCGUAGGUGGCGCGGUAAGUCGGGUGUGAAAUUUCGGAGCUUAACUCCGAAACUGCAUUCGAUACUGCCGUGCUUGAGGACUGGAGAGGAGACUGGAAUUUACGGUGUAGCAGUGAAAUGCGUAGAGAUCGUAAGGAAGACCAGUGGCGAAGGCAGGUCUCUGGGCCAUAACUGACGCUGAGAAGCGAAAGCAUGGGGAGCGAACAGG
rnacentral:rRNA from 1 species